GGCCUUUUGUUAAAAAUUUAAGGUCUAACCUGCCCACUGAUUGAUUGAAGGGCCGCAGUAUUUUGACUGUGCUAAGGUAGCAUAAUCAUUAGUUUUUUAAUUGAAAGCUGGAAUGAAAGGUUGAAUGAAAAAAUAACUGUCUUUAAUUAAUUUAAUUAGAAUUUUAUUUUUAAGUUAAAAAGCUUAAAUAAUUUUAAAAGACGAGAAGACCCUAUAGAGUUUAAUAUUUAAUAAAUUUUAAAUUUUUUAGUAUUAAUUUGUUUAAAUUUAUUAUAUAUUUAAUUGGGGUGAUUAAAAAAUUUAAUAAACUUUUUUUUUAUUUUUAUAUUUAUAAAUAAAUCUAUGAUCCAAUAUUUUUGAUUAUAAGAAU
rnacentral:rRNA from 1 species